rnacentral:tmRNA from 1 species
GGGGGUGUAUUGGAAUCGACAGGAAUGUGAAUCUGUAAGUAAGCAUGCCGGAGUAUGAUUGCUCAUCUCCGUUAACAAACGGCAAUCACACCAAUUUAAAUGGCAACUAUCAGUAUGCCAUGGCUGCCUAAUUACUAGGUAAUUAGAAGCCAUUAUGCCGUACGUUUGACGCCUGCUACACAGCGUACCGCGUAUCAACCAACCCGCAGGAUAGCUGACCGGCCUGCCUCGACCGGUUAGUGAAAUUCAGGGGCUAAGGUGCAAGUCAGGUUUUGUCUGUGAACCUACCUUGUACCCGACAAUUCAAUCACAGACUAAGCAUGUAGAAAGCUUGCAGAUGCUUUCUCUGGACGCGGGUUCGACUCCCGCCACCUCCACUA